AGUGAACGCUGGCGGUAGGCUUAACACAUGCAAGUCGAACGGCAGCACAGUAAUAUCUUGCUCUUACGGGUGGCGAGUGGCGGACGGGUGAGGAAUACAUCGGAAUCUACUUUUUCGUGGGGGUUCACGUAGGGGAACUUACGCUAAUACCGCAUAUGACCUACGGGUGAAAGCAGGGGAUCUUCGCACCUUGCGCGAUUGAAUGAGCGGAUGUCGGAUUAGCUAGUUGGCGGGGGAAAGGCCCACCAAGGCGACGAUCCGUAGCUGGACUGAGAGGAUGAGCAGCCACACUGGGACUGAGACACGGUACAGACUCCUACGGGAGGGAGCAGUGGGGAAUAUUGGACAAUGGGCGGAAGCCUGAUCCAGCCGGGCCGCGUGGGUGAAGAGGACCUUCGGGUGGUAAAUCCCGUUUGUUGGGAAGGAAAAGCAGCAGGUUAAUACCGCGCUGUUCUGACGGUUACCAAAUAAUAAGCAACGGCUAACUUCGUG
rnacentral:rRNA from 1 species